CCUACGGGGGGCUGCAGUAAGGAAUAUUGGUCAAUGGAGGAAACUCUGAACCAGCCAUCCCGCGUGAAGGAUGAAGGGGCUCUGCCUUGUAAACUUCUUUUGUCUGGGGCGAAAAAGCUCGAUUUAUCGAGAACUGACGGUACCAGAAGAAUAAGCACCGGCUAACUCCGUGCCAGCAGCCGCGGUCAUACGGAGGGUGCAGGCGUUAUCCGGAUUCACGGGUGCGAAGGGGUGCGUAUAAGGCUUUGUUGAAAGGCUGUGGCUUAACCAUGGAAGUGCCAUUGAUACUGCAGAGCUGGAAUGAGGUUGAGGUUGGCGGAAUGUGACAUGUAGCGGUGAAAUGCGUAGAUAUGGCAUGGAACACCGAUUGCGAAGGCAGCUGACUGGACCUAGAUUGACGCUGAGGCACGAAAGCGUGGGGAGCGAACAGGAUUAGAUACCCGGGUAGUC
rnacentral:rRNA from 1 species